GGGAUCUAUUUCUCGGAGGAGAAGCUCUGCAAAUGGUUCGCGCAGCUACUUCUGGAAGUUGAAUAUCUGCAUUCAAAUUUUGUUCUGCAUCGGGACAUAAAGUGUUCCAAUAUUUUUCUUACUAAAGAUCAAGAUGUUCGCCUUGGGGAUUUUGGGCUUGCUAAAACUCUAAAGGAAGAUGAUUUGGCUUCCUCGGU